CUGAGACCCCAGCCAGUACCCAGUAGUAGAGCUAGCUGAGACCCAGCCAGCCACCAGUACCCAGUAGUAGAGCUAGCUGAGACCCAGCCAGCCAGUACCCAGUAGUAGAGCUAGCUGAGACCCCAGCCAGCCAGUACCCAGUAGUAGAGCUAGCUGAGACCCCAGCCAGUCAGUACCCAGUAGUAGAGCUAGCUGAGACCCCAGCCAGUACCCAGUAGUAGAGCUAGCUGAGACCCCAGCCAGCCAGUACCCAGUAGUAGAGCUAGCUGAGACCCCAGCCAGUCAGUACCCAGUAGUAGAGCUAGCUGAGACCCCAGCCAGUCAGUACCCAGUAGUAGAGCUAGCUGAGACCCCAG
rnacentral:lncRNA from 1 species